UACGUAGGUGGCAAGCGUUGUCCGGAAUUAUUGGGCGUAAAGCGCGCGUAGGCGGCUACCUAAGUCGGAUGUGAAAGCCCCUGGCUCAACUGGGGAAGUGCACCCGAAACUGGAUAGCUUGAGUGCGAAAGAGGGUCGCGGAAUUCCCGGUGUAGAGGUGAAAUUCGUAGAUAUCGGGAGGAACACCGGUGGCGAAGGCGGCGACCUGGGUCGACACUGACGCUGAGGCGCGAAAGCGUGGGGAGCAAACAGG
rnacentral:rRNA from 1 species